rnacentral:rRNA from 1 species
GAUGAACGCUAGCGGCAGGCCUAAUACAUGCAAGUCGGACGGGAUUCAGGAGCUUGCUUCUGAUGAGAGUGGCGCACGGGUGCGUAACACGUAUGUAACCUACCUUUAUCAGGGGGAUAGCCUCUCGAAAGAGAGAUUAAGCCCGCAUAAAAUCACAGCACAGCAUUGUGUAAUGAUCAAAUAUUUAUAGGAUAAAGAUGGGCAUGCGGAACAUUAGCUAGAUGGCGGGGUAACGGCCCACCAUGGCGACGAUGUUUAGGGGAUCUGAGAGGAUGGCCCCCAAACCUGGUACUGAGACACGGACCAAACCCCUACGGGAGGCAGCAGUAAGGAAAAUUGGUCAAGGGGCGGAAGCCUAAACCAGCCAUGCCGGGGGAAGGAAGCCGGCCCUACGGGUUGUAAACUGCUUUUAUACGGGAAUAAACCCAGAUACGUGUAUUUGGCUGAAUGUACUUUAAGAAUAAGGAUCGGCUAACCCCGU